AGAGAAUCGAUUUUUCUAUGAAAUAGGUGAACACGACAAUUCAAGACAGGCUGACCGGCUGGUUCUCAUCAAACAGCUUAAAAGUUGUACAAGUUUGACCAUCGAAGGUCUCCUUCAAAAGUUUUCAGUGAUGAGACGAGAUUUCGCAAGGUUAUUGAUCCUCACACUCGGUAACAAUGCAACAGCUGUAAAAAUAAAGUAAAC